UACGUAGGGUCCGAGCGUUGUCCGGAAUUACUGGGCGUAAAGCGUGCGCAGGCGGUCUGUUAAGACAGAUGUGAAAUCCCCGGGCUUAACCUGGGAACUGCAUUUGUGACUGGCAGGCUAGAGUAUGGCAGAGGGGGGGGUAGAAUUCCACGUGUAGCAGUGAAAUGCGUAGAGAUGUGGAGGAAUACCGAUGGCGAAGGCAGCCCCCUGGGCCAAUACUGACGCUCAUGCACGAAAGCGUGGGGAGCAACAGG
rnacentral:rRNA from 1 species